GUAGGUGGCAAGCGUUGUCCGGAAUUAUUGGGCGUAAAGCGCGCGCAGGGCGGUCCUUUAAGUCUGAUGUGAAAGCCCACGGCUCAACCGUGGAGGGUCAUUGGAAACUGGGGGACUUGAGUACAGAAGAGGAAAGCGGAAUUCCAAGUGUAGCGGUGAAAUGCGUAGAGAUUUGGAGGAACACCAGUGGCGAAGGCGGCUUUCUGGUCUGUAACUGAUGCUGAGGCGCGAAAGCGUGGGGAGCAAACAGGAUUAGAUACCCUGGUAGUCCACGCCGUAAACGAUGAGUGCUAAGUGUUAGGGGGUUUCCGCCCCUUAGUGCUGCAGCUAACGCAUUAAGCACUCCGCCUGGGGAGUACGGCCGCAAGGCUG
rnacentral:rRNA from 1 species